rnacentral:rRNA from 1 species
AUUGAACGCUGGCGGCAUGCCUUACACAUGCAAGUCGAACGGCAGCAUAGGAGCUUGCUCCUGAUGGCGAGUGGCGAACGGGUGAGUAAUAUAUCGGAACGUGCCCUAGAGUGGGGGAUAACUAGUCGAAAGACUAGCUAAUACCGCAUAAGAUCUACGGAUGAAAGUGGGGUAUGGCAAGAACCCAUGCUCCUUGCGCGGCCGAUAUCUGAUUAGCUAGUUGGUGGGGUAAAAGCCUACCAAGGCAACGAUCAGUAGCUGGUCUGAGAGGACGACCAGCCACACUGGGACUGAGACACGGCCCAGACUCCUACGGGAGGCAGCAGUGGGGAAUUUUGGACAAUGGGGGCAACCCUGAUCCAGCAAUGCCGCGUGAGUGAAGAAGGCCUUCGGGUUGUAAAGCUCUUUUGUCAGGGAAGAAACGGUAGUAGCGAAUAACUACUACUAAUGACGGUACCUGAAGAAUAAGCACCGGCUAACUACGUGCCAGCAGCCGCCGUAA